rnacentral:lncRNA from 1 species
CUAGCAUCUCUCUACGCAUGGCUUGUGCUGGGUUGGUUGAUUGUUUCGGUGCCCUGGCUUCUUGCCGGUGUGUCUCUAUAUCACCUCCGUGGGCCUUAAUGGAUGGGGCGGUUGUCAGUCUGGCUUUCUCUGUGUCUUUUUUUGUGUUGUUCUAAGCACUGCCCGAGUGUCCUUGUAGUGACCCCUAUGUGGGAUGUUGACUGGUUGUUGCAAUGGUCAGUGACGGGUGUGGUGUGGACGCCUGCUCGUUCUGGCCUGUCCCUUGGUUCUUUUUUGUUCCUUAUGGUGUUGGGGAGUGUGGGGGCCCUCUUGACAG